rnacentral:tRNA from 1 species
GAGGCUUUAGCUUAAUUAAAGUGUUUGAGUUGCAUUCAGAAGAUGUGUAAUAAUAUUUCACAAGUCUU